CACUCUCGGCCGCGUUCUCUCUCUCUCCCUGACCUCUCUUUCUCGCACACUCUCUCUUCUUCCCUCUGCAAACGCCGGAAAACCGUAUCUCCGACCACCACCUUGAAAAACCGCCACCACCCAUCAAUGCAGCACCAAGAUGCGACCCAAACCCAAGAGAAAUCGAAGCCAUGCAUCGACCCCAACCUCUCUCUUCCGUUCUCCUCCCUCUACCAUCACUGGAAAGCACCAUAUCCGGCCACCAUCUCACCACACUGCCUCCACCAAUCGAUGCAGCGCCCAAAACCGACCCUAACCCGAGGCUUGCCGUCGACAUGCACCGCCUCCGGCCUCCACCCGCGACCACCAAAGCAGCGACGCUGCUGCCACCUUAAUCCCCUGAUUUCCAGCCAUCGAUUCAAACCCUCACUACCAUGAAUCGAAGCAGCAUGUCCUAUAAAGUAGAACCAGAACCUUGGCCUCAAACUCCAACGCUAGAAAACGCCGCACAAGCUCGCUGGAAACUAUAGCUCUGCAUGCCUUCGUUCUCCAAUCUCUAGCGCGAAUUGAGCUAAACCACCUCCAUGGUUGGAAUCAGCGUCUCACGUUUUCCAAUAGUCCAAACACCCGACCUCCGAUUCCAACCAGAGCCGCCACACGUGCCGCCGCCGCUGGCGUGUGAGAAACCUUGAUGCCACCGUGAACUUUGCCGGCGUAGUCCUAUUGUUCUGGUAAGCCGUUUUCGAAGCCCCCUUUCGUUAUUUGGUUGAGUUUCAGUUCCAAAGUAGUGGAUUGCUGAUGUUCAAUUCUUUUGGUUGAUGUUCUUGAAUUCGGGACUUGGAGGAUGGGAAUUGAAAUGAGAGGGGAGCUUCUGGUCUUGGUAUUGAUUUCAGUUUUAAUGGGAUGGUGAAGAAUCCAGAAGGACUGCAAGAAGCAGUACGUUAUGGAGGUUGUGAAAUUCUGAGAUUUUGGAGAAGGGGAGCUGCUUGGUCAGUUUCACUAUUGUGGUAGCCAGACAACUGAGGGUGAUGGAACUGCCUUAUGAGAGUGCUAGAGUCGACUUGUAUUUGAAGAGAUUUGGGAAUGAUCGAAGGCUUGGAAUCGUGAAGGAUGCCUCUGUUUUGGAAUCAAAUCCUUUUGGUAAGGACGAGGAAAAAUUAUUAAGGUUUAAGUCUUGUUAGAGUUGUUUCUGCUGCAGUUUUGGUUUGUUGAGAAUGUGCAAAGUUAGUAAAUGUGACAAAUGAAAUGUUGUACAAGAAUGUAAUCGGCGCUUUAGCUUUA